rnacentral:rRNA from 1 species
GAUGAACGCUAGCGGCAGGCCUAACACAUGCAAGUCGAGGGGUAGAGGAAGCUUGCUUCCUUGAGACCGGCGCACGGGUGCGUAACGCGUAUGCAAUCUACCUUGUACAGAGGGAUAGCCCAGAGAAAUUUGGAUUAAUACCUCAUAGUAUUGUUGAAUGGCAUCAUUUAAUAAUUAAAGUUCCAACGGUACAAGAUGAGCAUGCGUCCUAUUAGCUAGUUGGUGUGGUAACGGCAUACCAAGGCUACGAUAGGUAGGGGUCCUGAGAGGGAGAUCCCCCACAAAGGACCUGAGACACGGACCAGAAUCAUACGGUAGGCAGCAGUGAGAAAUAUUGGACAAUGGGCGCAAGCCUGCUCCAGCCAUGCCGAGUGCAGGAAGACGCAUCUAUGGUGUGUAAACUGCUUUUGUACGGGAAGAAACCCGCCCCCGUGAGGGAGCUUGACGGUACCGUAAGAAUAAGGAUCGGCUAACUCCGUGCCAGCAGCCGCCGUAAAAC